rnacentral:misc_RNA from 1 species
AUUUUAUUUUUUCGGUGAAAGAUCCACAGGUAUAUUUCGGUGUUAUAUCGAUGACAAUUGAAGCUGUGGUUAAUCCAAGAAGAGACCCAGUGCCAGUUGGCCAGCACGUACAUAAGGUUGGAUAUGCCAACCGGCUUAUGAAGAAGAAAAGGUGUAAAAGAAGAAUUAAUAAGCGGUCUGAAGCAAAAGUUCCCAUGGCAUUGCAGGAGCUGUAUAUGUCAUGCAGAGAAGUGUUUAAAGGCCCUGGAACUGUUCCCUUGCCUGAUGAUGUGGAGAGAUUAUGCCAUAUACUUGACAAUAUGAAGCCAGAAGAUGUUGGGCUAAGUAGCGAGCUGCCGUUUUUUAAGACUAAAAAUGCUGUGAAUGGGACUCAAAGGGUCACUACCACAACCAUAUACAAGUGCGAUGAAUUUUCGUUGUGCCUUUUCUUUCUUCCUGCAACUGCUGUCAUCCCCCUCCAUAACCAUCCAGGGAUGACUGUUUUUAGCAAGCUUCUACUGGGGACAAUGCACAUCAAAUCAUAUGAUUGGGUCAGCCCUCCCAGUGCAGAGGAGCCUGUACAGCCUUCUCAUGUGAGAUUGGCAAGACUGGUAAUGGACAGUGUCUUUACAGCUCCGUGCAACACGUCUGUAUUAUAUCCGACUACAGGAGGCAAUAUCCAUCAAUUCACUGCCAGUACACCAUGCGCAGUUCUUGAUGUGCUCGGACCUCCCUAUGCUAAAGAAGAUGGGAGGGACUGUUCAUACUACAAAGAUUUUCCUUAUGAUGCCUUUUCAGAUGGAGAAAAGGAGUUGACAGAAGAGGGGGGCUGUGUUGGAUGGCUGGAAGAGAUUGAGACGCCAGAGAAUUCAGAGAUGGAUUGGAUAGAGUACUUAGGUCCACAAAUUGUAGAGUAUAGGGAGUAAAGAUUAGUUGGUAGCUGUUUGGUUGUCACCAUUAAAGAAAGUUUCUUUCUUUAUUUCCC